rnacentral:rRNA from 1 species
GUUGUAUAGUCAAGUAAUUAAGUGCAUGUGGUGGAUGCCUUGGCAGUCAGAGGCGAUGAAAGACGUGAUAGCCUGCGAAAAGCUUCGGGGAGGCGGCAAAUAUCCUGUGAUCCGGAGAUGUCUGAAUGGGGAAACCCACUUACCAUAAGGUAGGUAUUGCAUGAUGAAUACAUAGUCAUGCAAGGCGAACGAGGGGAAGUGAAACAUCUCAGUACCCUCAGGAAAAGAAAUCAAUUGAGAUUCCCUCAGUAGCGGCGAGCGAACGGGGAUCAGCCCAUUAAGUUAUGUGUGUUUUAGCGGAAUGCUCUGGGAAGUGCAACCGUAGAGGGUGAUAGUCCCGUACACGAAAGGGCACACAUAAUGAUGACGAGUAGGGCGAGGCACGUGAAACCUUGUCUGAAUAUGGGGGGACCAUCCUCCAAGGCUAAAUACUCCUGACUGACCGAUAGUGAACCAGUACCG